rnacentral:rRNA from 1 species
GACGAACGCUGGCGGCGUGCUUAACACAUGCAAGUCGAACGAAGUGGCGAACGGGUGAGUAAUACGUGGGUAACCUGCCCUCCUUUUUGGGAUAAGCCUUGGAAACGGGGUCUAAUACCGCAUAUAGGGGCAUGGGCUCGCGGCCUGUCAGUUUGUUGGUGGGGUGAUUGCCUACCAAGGCGGAGACGGGUAGCCGGCCUGAGAGGGUGAACUGCGACAGUGAGACUGAGAUGCGGCCCAGAGUAGUCAGCGGGGCAGCAGUGGGGAAUAUGGCACAAAGGGCGAAGGCCUGAUGCCGCGACUCUGCGGGGGGGAUGAAGGCUUUCGAGUUGUAAAACUCGUUCGCUAUCGGACGGGUAGGGAGAGAAGAAGCGCCGGCUAACUACGUGCCAGCCGCCGCGGUAAUUC